CNNGCCAUGCCGCGUGCAGGAAGANUGCCCUAUGGGUUGUAAACUGCUUUUAUACAGGAAGAAACACUGCUACGUGUAGCAGCUUGACGGUACUGUAAGAAUAAGGAUCGGCUAACUCCGUGCCAGCAGCCGCGGUAAUACGGAGGAUCCAAGCGUUAUCCGGAAUCAUUGGGUUUAAAGGGUCCGUAGGUGGAUAAUUAAGUCAGAGGUGAAAUCCUGCAGCUCAACUGUAGAAUUGCCUUUGAUACUGGUUAUCUUGAGUUAUUAUGAAGUAGUUAGAAUAUGUAGUGUAGCGGUGAAAUGCAUAGAUAUUACAUAGAAUACCAAUUGCGAAGGCAGAUUACUAAUAAUAUACUGACACUGAUGGACGAAAGCGUGGGGAGCGAACAGGAUUAGAUAC
rnacentral:rRNA from 1 species